rnacentral:rRNA from 1 species
UACGUAGGGGGGCUAGCGUUGUCCGGAAUCAUUGGGCGUAAAGAGCGUGUAGGCGGUCCGGUAAGUCCGCUGUGAAAGUCGGGGGCUCAACCCUCGAAUGCCGGUGGAUACUGUCGGGCUAGAGUCCGGAAGGGGCGAGUGGAAUUCCUGGUGUAGCGGUGAAAUGCGCAGAUAUCAGGAGGAACACCAAUGGCGAAGGCAGCUCGCUGGGACGUGACUGACGCUGAGACGCGAAAGCGUGGGGAGCAAACAGG